UAUAUAACGUCGAAAAGAUAAGUACUUAUUAGAUUGAUUGCAUAGAGAGCUAAUGAUUGGUGAAAAUUAGUAUCAUGGGAAUUUGGAAAAUGGUCUUGGAGUUAAAAUGAUGUGAGCAUAGAGUUUGUUAAUGUCGUUCGGUUACACCCGUUAAAGUGUCAGAGUAUCGUAUUUUUAUGCCGUACUUAGUAAGCGUAUCAUAGUGAUUUGAUGCGGAAACCGGGUGGUAUCACGAUUUAAUUCGUCCCGCAA
rfam:Leuconostoc gelidum JB7, complete genome.